CGAACACGUGCACUUGUCCCCUUGUAGGACGUCGCGACCCGUUGGGUGCCGGUCUACGGCCCUCGGUGGAGCCCGUGCGGAGCCUCGCGCUCCGUCCGGACCCGAGGUGUCCCGGCCGGCUCGCCCGACGGUAUACCGAUGGCGCGGGGCCGCGGCUCGAACGCGUCCGACCCUCCGCAAGUGCGGACGGUAACCCGGCGGUCGGACCUGGUCCGGCUCCGGGCCCGCCCGGCUGCUGGCGGAGGCGCUCUCGGACAGACUCCGUGCACGCCCGUCGGCGACGCUAUAGCUUUGGGUACUUUCAGGACCCGUCUUGAAACACGGACCAAGGAGUCUAGCAUGUGCGCGAGUCAUUGGGAUUGACUAAACCUAAAGGCGCAAUGAAAGUGAAGGCCCGCCUCGCGCGGGCCGAGGGAGGAUGGGCCGGAGCACGAUCCGGCCCCGCACMCCC
rnacentral:rRNA from 1 species